rnacentral:rRNA from 1 species
UACGUAGGGUGCAAGCGUUGUCCGGAAUUAUUGGGCGUAAAGAGCGUGUAGGCGGCCCGAUUAGUCCGCUGUGAAAGUCCAGGGCUCAACCCUGGAAUGCCGGUGGAUACUGUCGGGCUAGAGUCCGGAAGGGGCGAGUGGAAUUCCUGGUGUAGCGGUGAAAUGCGCAGAUAUCAGGAGGAACACCAAUUGCGAAGGCAGCUCGCUGGGACGUUACUGACGCUGAGACGCGAAAGCGUGGGGAGCAAACAGG